rnacentral:misc_RNA from 1 species
GAUGAAGAACGUAGCGAAAUGCGAUAAGUAAUGUGAAUUGCAGAAUUCAGUGAAUCAUCGAAUCUUUGAACGCACAUUGCGCCCGCCAGUAUUCUGGCGGGCAUGCCUGUCUGAGCGUCAUUUCAACCCUCAUGCCCCUAGGGCGUGGUGUUGGGGAUCGGCCAAAGCCCGCGAGGGACGGCCGGCCCCUAAAUCUAGUGGCGGACCCGUCGUGGCCUCCUCUGCGAAGUAGGGAUAUUCCGCAUCGGAGAGCGACGAGCCCCUGCCGUUAAACCCCCAACUUUCCAAGGUUGACCUCAGAUCAGGUAGGAAUACCCGCUGAACUUAAGCAUAUCAAUAAGCGGAGGA